rnacentral:rRNA from 1 species
UACGGAGGGUGCAAACGUUGCUCGGAAUCAUUGGGCGUAAAGCGCACGUAGGCGGCUCGUUAAGUCGGAUGUGAAAGCCCUGGGCUCAACCCAGGAAGUGCAUACGAAACUGGCGAGCUUGAGUAUGGAAGAGGGUCGCGGAAUUCCCGGUGUAGAGGUGAAAUUCGUAGAUAUCGGGAGGAACACCAGUGGCGAAGGCGGCGACCUGGGCCAAUACUGACGCUGAGAUGCGAAAGCGUGGGGAGCAAACAGG